AGGAGAAUAUAUAAGAAUAAAAGAAACGGCGCUCUACUCUGUAUUUGAUCACCACCUGAAACCCUUUAACAGCUUCCGAGAAUUCCACCAACCAUGUCCAGAGUCGCGGUUCUUCCUCUCGCUGUUUAUCUUCUCCUCUUCGUUUCAACCACUGUUCGAGCCACCGAUGUCCAAUAUUGUGAGGAGAAUGCAGAGUAUGAAGUGAAAGUGAAAGAGGUUUACAUAUCGCCCAAUCCUAUAGCUCGAGGCGAGACAGCUACCUUUACCAUCUCUGCCAACACAGGCCGUGGGAUCUCGGGUGGGAAGCUGGUGAUUGAAGUUUCGUACUUUGGAUGGCACGUUCACUCUGAGACGCAUGACCUCUGCAGUGAGACUACUUGCCCUGUAGAAACCGGAGAUUUCUUGGUUUCACACUCUCAAGUUCUUUCUGCCUAUGCUCCUUCUGGUUCGUACUCGCUGCAAAUGAAGAUGAUUGAUUUGCAGAAUAAGGAGUUAACGUGCAUUAGAUUCUACAUCGACAUUGGAUCCGCAUCAUCUGUGGCCGACAUGUAGAGCAAAUUCACCUGGUCUCAUGACAUCAGUCAAGUGGUUGAACGGUAUAAUUGACCAUUUUUAACCAUCAUGUAAUGUGAAAAGUAAUCAGCGCAAGUAUAUAUAAGAUUGAUUGCUGAUCAUCAUGAUAAGUAAUGUAUAGUGAAGACGUUUGGGGAUGUUAAAAAUCGUAAUCAGGCGUAGUAGACUGAUACGAGAGGGAUGUCAACGUCGUUGUCAUUGUCAUCCUCACAAGCCACCACAACAUACAUCCAAGUGACGUCUAUAAGCAGGCAAUUCAACCUUAGCCCCUUCUCUUGCAAGAUCCACCAGUCUCCUCUGCAUCAUCCCUUUAUGCAUUGGGAACAUACUGUUGUACAGUAAAGAGCUUCCGACUGAUGUGCUGUACGCGGUAGGAUGUGAUAGAACCCAUGGCCCAUUGGGCUCAUUUCAUUAUGGUCCAGUUACUUUUCUGUCUCUUGUGUUUGUGUCCUCAAAUAGUGAAAACUCUCUUUUACUU